AUAUUGAGCAAUGGAGGAAACUCUGACGCAGCGACGCCGCGUGAGCGAUGAAGGUCUUNGGUUCGNUNAGCUCAGUCCUUGUGGANGACGAUCGAAAUAUUUGAAUCUACCUGAGGAGGAAGUCCCGGCUAACGACGUGCCAGCACACGGGGUAAUACGUAGGGGGCAAGCGUUGUCCGGAAUUAGCGGGCGUAAAGGGUGCGUAGGCGGCUUUUUAAGUCAGAUGUGAAAGAACACGGCUUAACCGUGGGGUUGCAUUUGAAACUGGAAGGCUUGAGUAUAGGAGAGGGUAGUGGAAUUCCCAGUGUAGCGGUGAAAUGCGUAGAUAUUGGGAGGAACAACAGUGGCGAAGGCGACUACCUGGACGAAAACUGACGCUGAUGCACGAAAGCUAGGGGAGCAAAC
rnacentral:rRNA from 1 species